rnacentral:ncRNA from 1 species
ACAAAGGCUUUGAAAAGAAGAAGUAGUGACCAGCAUCACCCAGACAGAAAGCUGCCGGAAGAUGAGAGGCGCAUGAAGGAGCAGGUUAUGAAUACAUCUUGGAGCUUCACACCGAACGCGCGGAAGAACUAUGCAAGUAGGCUGUGACGAGUGGCGCACGUUAUCGUGCCGGACUGUGAAGAGGCAGUUGUCGAGACUGUAAGUGCGAGCUUACAGUGAAUUAAGGUGGUACCACGUAAGAUAUUUCGUCCUUAUA